AACGAACGCUGGCGGCAGGCUUAACACAUGCAAGUCGAACGAAGUCUUCGGACUUAGUGGCGGACGGGUGAGUAACACGUGGGAACGUGCCUUUAGGUUCGGAAUAACUCAGGGAAACUUGUGCUAAUACCGAAUGUGCCCUUCGGGGGAAAGAUUUAUCGCCUUUAGAGCGGCCCGCGUCUGAUUAGCUAGUUGGUGAGGUAAUGGCUCACCACGGCGACGAUCAGUAGCUGGGCUGAGAGGAUGACCAGCCACAUUGGGACUGAGACACGGCCCAAACUCCUACGGGAGGCAGCAGUGGGGAAUCUUGCGCAAUGGGCGAAAGCCUGACGCAGCCAUGCCGCGUGAAUGAUGAAGGUCUUAGGAUUGUAAAAUUCUUUCACCGGGGACGAUAAUGACGGUACCCGGAGAAGAAGCCCCGGCUAACUUCGUGCCAGCAGCCGCAGUAAGAC
rnacentral:rRNA from 1 species